UCGAGAAUCUUUCACAAUGGGCGAAAGCCUGAUGGAGCGACGCCGCGUGGAGGAUGAAGGCCUUCGGGUUGUAAACUCCUGUCAUGAGGGAACAAGAAAGUGAUAGUACCUCAAGAGGAAGAGACGGCUAACUCUGUGCCAGCAGCCGCGGUAAUACAGAGGUCUCAAGCGUUGUUCGGAUUUACUGGGCGUAAAGGGUGCGUAGGCGGUGGCGUAAGUCGAGUGUGAAAUCUUCCGGCCUAACCGGAAAACUGCACUCGAUACUGCGUCACUAGAGGACUGUAGAGGAGACUGGAAUUCACGGUGUAGCAGUGAAAUGCGUAGAUAUCGUGAGGAAGACCGGUGGCGAAAGCGAGUCUCUGGGCAGUUCCUGACGCUGAGGCACGAAGGCUAGGGGAGCAAACGGGAUUAGAUACCCCCGUAGUCCCUGAG
rnacentral:rRNA from 1 species